GACGAACGCUGGCGGCGUGCUUAACACAUGCAAGUCGAACGGUAAGGCCCUUCGGGGUACACGAGUGGCGAACGGGUGAGUAACACGUGGGUGAUCUGCCCUGCACUUCGGGAUAAGCCUGGGAAACUGGGUCUAAUACCGGAUAGGACUCCGGACUGCAUGGUGUGGGGUGGACAGCGUUUGCGGUGUGGGAUGGGCCCGCGGCCUAUCAGCUUGUUGGUGGGGUGAUGGCCUACCAAGGCGACGACGGGUAGCCGGCCUGAGAGGGUGACCGGCCACACUGGGACUGAGAUACGGCCCAGACUCCUACGGGAGGCAGCAGUGGGGAAUGUUGCACAAUGGGCGCAAGCCUGAUGCAGCGACGCCGCGUGAGGGAUGACGGCCUUCGGGUUGUAAACCUCUUUCAGCAUCGACGAAGCGAAAGUGACGGUAGGUGCAGAAGAAGGACCGGCCAACUACGUGCCAGCCGCCGCAGUAA
rnacentral:rRNA from 1 species